AGGUUUAAUCUGAAAGGCCAUUGGCUCUGGUUUCGGUGCUCCAAUGACAUUCUCUCUUAUAGUACAAAUAAAUAGUCUCAAAUUUGUUAUCUUGUUGAUGUUUGUGAUAUUUGUGUAGGCGUGCAGGGUGGGGUGAAGCUGUUUAUGAUUUGAUGUAGCUAAUUUUUGCAGACUAACUAUUGCUUUGUUUUGCUUUCAAAGAGCUCUGGUCUUUGGAGUUCGGCCAAACAGAAUACAAAACUAAAACUCAGUCCUUUACUUUUCUGAGAGACACAAAAGCUUGAGCCUUCUUCUAGCUUCUUCCAAUAUCCUAUCCAAACUAUUGGGUUGUCACUCUCUUGCAUGCUUGCUUUUUCUUCUGCAGCUUGGUGUGGGUUUGCAGUUUGAGUCUGAUCUUAGGGUUUGGGAACCUACUCUUUUGCUUGAGGUUUCCGUUUAUCUGUUUGUUUGUUCCUGUGCUUAGAGUUUUUGUGUGGUUGAUCUGCCUGGUACAUGGAAUGUUAGGUUUUCCUUACAAAGUCGAUCUUCAUGCAUCGGCUAAAGAAACGAUUGGAAUACUACUGAAAAUUUCCUGAUAUCCUUCUUUUCUCCAAGUAUGUAGCGGGGUUUCGAUCAGUUCUGAUGUGCCGGGAAGAGGAAGAGGUAUCUGGAAGAUUUUUCCUUUUCUUUACACUAGUCUAUCAUCUGUAAAAUUUGACCGUUCCUUAAUAUUGGCUUAAACUCUUAAACCUUAUAUGCAAAAAUUCUUGGUUUAAAGUUUCAAGCUUCAAAGGAUUUUGAUUAUUAUUUAAAGCUUAGUAUCCAGAUUGUUCUCAGUCGAUCAACUGUCAAAUUAUUCAAGGCUGUUCUACAUGUAUAGAUUGGUUUUAAUAGUAUGUAUGCUCCAACAUUAUUAUUUUUCUUGAAGCACUUUCUACUGAUAUGGCUUUCACAAGUCCAUGAAUUUGAUUUUUCACUUGUCAGAUUUCUAUUCAGAUUUGGAGUUUCCAUGAUCACCAACUUUGCAACCCAUAUGUUUUCCCAGUUAUUUGGUCUAUACAAUAUGAUUUAACUCCUUUGAUCUACAAGCUUAGGUUCUAUAUAUGGAAGGUUACAUAUUGUUGAUGUUGGGGUACUAGAUAAAUUUCGUAUCAGCCUGUCAUCCCUGGUGUACCUUUAAUCCAUGGAGCGAGAUCCCUAUCUUGCAUGUGAUAUUGUGUUCGUUAGUAUCAUGCGGCAGAUUUUGGUUACUAGCUACGAGAACAUAUAUUAGUAAUUGUUGUUGAUUUGUGAUUCUAGUGCUGUAGGUCUUAGCUAUGUCAUAUUUGAUCUUAAUCAACAAAGUAAAAUUGGCUCAGUCUGAUACUUUUUCUUGGUGAAUGUUGAUGCUCUUCGAAGUCUGUUUUUGUGCCUGAAUAGGUGAAUUUGUAUGAUGAAGUUUUGGAACAUUGAUACGUUUAUAUCAUUUGCCCUUAUUUUCUUUUUCUUUUUGUCUUACAUUUUGUAGGCAUUGACAUGAAAUGUGCGGAACUUGUAUGUCAAUUUUCUUCAUAAUUGUAUUGUGAUUAGUGGAAAACAUGUUAAUCCGGCUUUUAGCAGUUACUGUAUGUGUAUAUAUGACUAUGAGCUGAGCUAUUGGUGGUUUGGAUGACAGAGAGAGAGAGUACACUUGUCCGCAUCCAUGAAAACCCCUCUCUUUGUCAUCGUACUGCUCUUGUCCAGGUCUAUCCUCGAUGCUAUGUUUCAUGUAUUUGCAUCUUUGGGAUGUAAACUAGCUGAUAAGCUUAUAACAUUGUGUAAUUUGUCAUUUAUCUUUGUCAAUCAUAUUAUUUAUUCCAGAAUGGUUUCCGGCCAUUAGCCUUUUUGUUGGUUGAUGUCUUGUAAUGAUAUGGAGAUUACAUGUUGAUGAAGUAGAGUGGUCAUUGUUCAUGGAUCAAUCUCUUAGUACAUCAACAUGGAUGCAUUAUCUUGUUAAUUACAUUACAGUCGUAUGUUUGGAAAACUAAAAUAUUUUGGCUAGUGUUCAGCAAUUCAAUUUUACAUAAUUAAAUUUUUCGACCUCAAUAAAAUUUUGACUAAAGUAAUUUCAAUAAAAAUUUCUAUGUACUUUUAAUCUUCUGUUUUUUCGUUUCUUUUCUUUUGUAAGAACUAUGUCAAUAGGCCUGGAACAUGAGGUGUGGCAGUGAUAUAAGAUGAUUAGAUUAGGUAGAGAUCAACAUUCAGGUAUGAGUAGUAGGGAUGCAAAACAUUCAACAGUCGGCUUUGUUUCACUUGAAGUAUGGAAUUGAUAUUUCACUGCUGACCACAAAACCAAACGUUAGAGUUCAUUUGAGCUAAACAACUGGUAUGCGAUAUUAUACGUGAGAAUUUAUGUGCUUGCCAAGUUUUUCAAAACUAUUGUGUUGGAUAUAGUUAAAUUAUUAUAUAUAUACAAGUAAUAAACAGACAGAAGACUGUAUGGAAACAGCAACAGCAUGAUUGCUAAUAUGAUUACAAACAAUGAUAGUCAUGAGCUUGAGGAACAUCAAAGGGAAGUGCUGAAUUGGAGGUUGCAUGUUGAUGUUGUGACUCGAGACUUUCUUGCCUGUGAUAUAUACUGUGUAAAUUUCUUGUGGUGGUUUUGGUGACUUUUUUUCCUGCAGCUGGUGGGUUUUGAGGACCAGUUGGUAGUACAUUAUAUGUAGUUGUACAUUUAUGAUCAUGGUUGAUGUGUGAUGUACUGUUGGUUUUUUUUUUUUGUGGUCAUUUUACUAUUGGUCUUAACUAUGUUUAUCUGAUUAUAUCAACCAAGUAUGGUAUUUCCAUCUUUUUCUUCUUUUGCUUUUGCUUUCUGUUUUUGGCUGUUUGUUUCUUUUCUUUUGAUUUCUCUAGUCUUCUUUUGCUUGCUUUGCAGAGUGUCUGUAUUGGGCUGUGUCCCUUGAACUGUUGUUUGGCCAUGUGCCUUGUGACUAAAAAAAAGUACAGUGGUCCAGUUUGGGGGUUUCUCUAGGUAUGCACUGCUGUAGUCAUUUUCUUUUGCCUAAAUCUAGGUCAAUUAAGUGGUGAUGAUUGCAGUUUUCGUAUUUUAUAUCAUUUGCUUUCUCCCAAAUUUGUUUAGCUUUGACAUGACAAGUGUGGAAUUUGCCAGCAAACAUUUUAUCUCGAUUGUUGAAAACAUUCUAAUCUGGCUCUUUGCCAUUACUGAGGCAAGCUAUGAUUGGAUUUGUUUGACGAUGAGAGAGAGCACGCUUGUCAGCAUCCAUGAAACAGUCAUGAGUGUUUACGAGCGUGCUCCCUCUCAUCGUCAUACAAUCGAUCUAAUCUUGUGCACCGGCCUUUCGCAUACUAACUAGUUGGUGAUCAUAAAUUGUGCUAGUUAGUAUUUAUAUGUGUCAAUCUCAAUGUUCCUUUCAUAAAGGCUCAUCAUUUGCCUUUUCAUGGUCGAUAUCCUUUUUCUGAUAUAAAGUUUAAAUGUUGAAGAAUUAGAGAACAGUCAUUGGUUAGAGUUGAUCUCUGAGUAGAUCAAUCCACAUGGAUGAGUUCUUUAGGAAAAGCAAAAUAUUUUGCCUCAAUAUAAACAUUCAGUCAUUACUUUUUACAUAACUAAUUGUCUGAACUCAUCAAACCUUUGCCUAAUCUAUUAUCACUUGAAAAAUCAAAAGUUUCUUAACAUUUCUAUGUAAUCAUUUUUAAGGAAUAAGAACAAAUGACUGGCAAAGGUGAGGUGUGGCGGAGAUUAAGUUGAUGAACAGUCUGGUAUGUGUGACUAUAAGCUUGCAAGACAUUAAAAAAUUGGAGACUUGGUUGAUUGUGCAAUUCAUAUUUCCCUAUUGACUACAAAAACAAACAUCAGGGUACUAGGUUGUUCAAACUUCAAACAGGUAUGGUGGGCAAUGCAAGAAUACUCCUCUCCCAGGAGCCCAUGAGUACUUCUAUGAGGACGGAAGAAGUGCUAGCUGGCCCUAAUUGGCUACUAAGCUUAUAGUAUACACCAUAAAUGUUAAGUUCCAUAACAAUUGGUGAAUAUUAUAGACCUUUGUUUAUUUAACAUAAUAGACCUUUGUACUUAUCAUAUCUUUACUAAGUGUCUGUGGUUCAUUAGUGUAUAACUAUUAUUCUUAGAACUGCAACCAGUGGCCAUAGGUUUGGUAAGAAAAUAAUAAAGUUAAAUUUCCUGCUUUGCUCAAAUGCGUUGCUAAUUGCUAAUUCAACAACAAAAUGAAUGACUAAAGGCCUUAAGACUUUCUUUAUUGAAAAAUGAAGAUAUGCUUAUAACUAUCCAGUUGCAUGUUGUUUAUUUUUGGGAUGCUUUAGAUCUUUGAUUAAAAUUAGACUCCAAGCUAAGAUAAAGAGAAAAUAUGCUUAUAACUAUCGAAUUGCAAAGGAAGUUAUCAACCUCCUGGGAAGAUCAUAUGUGCAUUUAUACAUAUUGCUCUGCAAGGAUGGGAAAGUUAUGAUACUACAUUGUCAAGUAGUUAAUACUUUGAUUCAUUUACAUAUAGCGGUCACAGAUGUUUUAUGUAAUGCAAUGACUACUGAUCCUUGUACUUGCUAAAACUUGUUUUUCAAUAUUAUUGUUCUUUACAUUUGAGGAGAAGUUAAGUUAUGGACCGACAGAAAUAGGUGAUAACAAAAAUUUAAACUCUUGCCUGAAUUCUCUAAAUAGCUGAAAUUCAUAGUGAUAUUCCCAUAUAGAGGUAUAUGCAUCUAAUUAUUCCUAUUAAAAAGCCCUCUUUCCUAUUAUCGAACUUAUUCUUUUUAUCUCCAACUGUAUAUUUCAAGCAAGAUUGUAAAAGGCUACCUUAAGGCACGCUUUCUGCCUAGGCAUAGGCUAAAUGCAGUGAUGGCUCUGGUAAAAAGCAAGCAGGCACAAAAAUUGCACAGGAGGAGGGAAAAGCUUAAGCCUCAGGAGCUUAGUUGAUAAGUCCUCAGGUUUUGGAUUUCUUCAGUGUUCAUGGGAUCUAAAUGGAAAUGUUCCCUAUAAAACAUUUGUUGGAAGCUGCUGUUCAAGCAAUGCAUGGUUGUGAAUUCUAAUCCCAACUGAAACCCAGGCUUAAAGGUCUUUUGUGCAUGCUGGAUGAUUGUCUAAACGGCGGGAGUUUAACAACAGUAGGAACGUGACAGACAAAGACAAACAUGCCCGGUACAAAUAUAUCACGGACGUUCCAAGUUAAAGGAUAUCAGGCGUGCUAGAGACUUUUUCAGCCUUUCAAGUAUAUUUGCAUCUUGUCUGGUUUCGUAUGCAGCCGUGGGACAGGUUUCCUUUCUAAUCUUGGAUGACAAUCUUGUGAUGGAACACUGUGACCGUUGGAUGCACUAAACGUCCUUGGGACCAUACCUAGUGCAUCCAGUUGUAGGUUAUUGUACGGAUGGGAACGCACUUUAUGGCAUGUAAACAUCUCUAUAUUCGGGAAUCUUGAGUUAUGUUUUCCAAUACCAAGUGUCCCAAAAUCUGUAACCUGAACUAAAAAGGGAGAAUUCCAUAUCUCCAACCCUUCAAUGCAGAAUAUGAAAAUCCUGAAAUUCAAAAA